CACGCACGCCGCUUAACGAAAUAAUACUGUCGUGUUCUAGUUUCACUGAAAUUGACACCACUUUCAGUUGGUUUGUUAUUGAUUCGAAACAUCUCGAUAGAGAACUCAUACCUCGAACAAAAGCGAAUCAGAGUUUUGCUGUAUAGCAACGUUACGUGUAAACGCAAAUUCUUUGUUGACACACAGGCGUUCUGUUGGUUUUAAAUCAUUGAAAAAAAAUAAAAACUAGCAAGAAACAACGAGUCCGAAGUGCCAGCAUGUUACUAAUGUAGUGUACACAGUUUGCACACUUGUUUUGAUUUUUUCUGCUGUUUACUAACCUAUCUUGCCGAGUAUAUAAAUACAAGGAUAAAAUUUCGCGUGAAAGCCGUGACUAUCGAAGUAUACGUACAUUGUGCAUAUACAUUUCGUGUUUCGUUCUUCGUUUCGAUGUAUCGAUUGCUUUGAACGACUUUUAGUCGUUUUAACAGCGUAACUCUUAUUACAAAUCGAUUAAUCGUGAUUCCACGAUUCAUCACGUUCGUGCCGUAAGAAGGAUUAAGGUUAGUAACGUCGUGCGAUCUGGGUUGCCCUAGCAACGAAAAAAAACGCGCGAAUAACACCUAUAUUUGCUGUACAGUUCUCGCGAUUCCAAUACGCCUCGUGUCGUUUUUAUUGCUUAUGAAACUCCUCGAUAAUCUUUACGAAGCUUCCUACCACUACCAUUAUCAAGUGAAAUAUAAAGUUUGCAAUAAAAAAAUCAAAAUAAAGAGAAAAGCAAACCUUUAUCAAUAUACGUUCGUAUUUUACAAAAAAGCAGAUGCUUUGAAACAAAGAAAAGUGCACGACCAGAGUUCCUGUAGAAUCACCUUAUAUAUACAUAUAGGUUAUACAUUAACACGCAUGAAUAUAGUAAAGUCAUAGAUGAAGGUGAGUCAUAGUCAAAGGAUGCUUCACAGAUGGUUCAUGCAGCAGAUAAGGCUCGUUAAAGACAACUACUGGAGCAAUUUAAAUAAUAAUCGUAGAUGACAUGAAUAGUCAAAGAUAUUUUCUGUUAGUAAAAAUAGUUACUAGAAAAUCGUUAGAUAAAAGGUUAACGUUCGAACUUGAAUAAUUAAUUGUAAUUAAGUAUGUGCAUAGUAGUCAGAAACGUACAAGACAAAAGUAAGAAUUACAUACGGAGGAAUUUUCAUGAAACAUUGAUGUAUCUAUACAGGUUGAUCGCUAGUAAAUACGAUUGAUUGUUGAGCCGAUAAAUAGGUUAGAAUAUCAACAAUUUCUCAUUACGUAAAAAGUCACUGGCUCAGCGAAUCCUACCCUAAUCUGAGACGAUCGCGUACACUACGGUUCUUCGGUUCCCACAAUCUGUCCAGCGUAUUAUGAUUAUCCUGUUGUCGGUCACCGUGCCGACUUUCAGGAGAACACACGAAAAAAAUGUCGGAUUCGAUGCGAGACGAGCGGCAGCUAUGUGUACUUUUAACUCCUUGUUCACCUUUGACUUCCUCUUAUGAGGAAAAAGAGAAUAUUCUUGUUAAAAAUUCAAUUGGAAAUAUUGGAAAUACAGUAGCGUGCAGGUUAUAUAGCGCGGUGAAAGAAGAAUUUGCUUCGCGUUAUUGCACGUUGUCACGCUACGUUUAAUAUUAUUUUUCUAUUGAGGUUAAGAGGUGUAUCAUAAGUGGAAUUGUUUUUAUGCGAACUGACUGACAGUCGAAAUAAACCUAUGCUUGUCGUUCAAUCUAAAUGGGCUUUUGCCGAUUAAAGUGGAUCGUGGAUAUUUUGUACGGCAAAUCUAAUAUGUAAUUUAUAUUUCAAAGUAACGAAUUCAAAGUAAAAUGUUAUUUUUCGUUAACUCUUCCAAAGUGACAAUGUACUUAGUUUAAAUCGUGUCCACGAAAAAACAGUCGUAGUAUGUGUAUAAUAGUUAUAAGUAUAUUAAUAGAUUUUUCGUAACUUUUAUAAAGAGACCUCUACAUCAAUUAUUUUCUUUCACAACGUUGCAACUAAUAUAAAGAUCACUAAGAUUCCAGAAAUAUCUAAUAAUCUUGAAGUUCAUAAACUCAGGGAAGAGAUUAAAAUGAAAAUGCUUCUUGUUCGGAUGCUUCGACCAUAAUCCAUCACAAGCGUGACUCGAUAUUAUAAGACAAGGCUAAUUUUACUUUAGCGAGAUUAUUCUUCCGUCUUUUAAGCCAAGCGAUAGUGGUUAAGGUAACCGAUAACAUUUUCUAUGUAAUGUAUUCGCAGAAAGCGAAGUGCAGAACAAGUCUCAUUAUUGUAAUUCGCAGUGUGUGAAAUGCCAAAUACCGAAUCUUCCCUUUGAAUAUAUUCGCAGCACUUACUUGUCAUUUUCAUGCGUUUCUUUUCAGGAUCGGUUGCCGGCGCGAUAGCCUUGAGAGAGGGUGCGUUUCACGAGGUGCCCGCAUAGUACGGCGCGUAUACUUCUCGAUUUCUUUGAAUUUUGUCUCGUAGCUAGACCAAAAGUCCACCCUCGUUGUUAGGGAACAUGCACGUAAAGAGGAGACACGUAAUACAACGAAACGACGACGCCGCGAGAGACAAGCGUGGAAAGAGGCUGCUAUACACACCCGCAUGCGAUCCCGUACAAACCGUAACCUUACACGAACGUCGCGCCAAGUGUGUACUGUGUAUCGAUCCCGAGAGUACACACGAAGACAGCUCUGAGCGCCACCACGUUCUCUCUCUGUCUCUCGUAGGAGAGGCGCUGUCUCUUGUUGUUGCUUUCGUUAGAACGCCGACGGUUACUUAGACCCGGUACGUAUUUCAAGCAUGAGCUUGGAAAGAAAUUAUUGAAACUCGAUCGCACACCACACCAAUCUCUUCGUUUCCAUGCAACAUCGGCUAACAAUGAGAACAAGGACAUGGUUAAAGGCUUUUCUCGCGACUUAUUCGCCGGCUCCGUAUACCGGUUAUAAUCGUCGAAUAAAUCCAAAGGAUACGUAUCGUUGUUAUGUAUUUAGGUAGCUAUUAAGUGAAAAAGUUCUCUUACCUUAAUUUUCAGUGAAUGAUCUGAACACUGACACACAACGAUACAACACACACUCCACACCCGACGAAGGUUCGAGCUCGACUGAAAGUCUUCGCGGAGUGGGUUGGCGGGUGGCGCCACGGCCAAUCCCAACGUACUAACACGCAAUUCCAUCUUCCUCGUAAGACGUAUGUACAGUUCGCUCCGACGAAUUGUUCCGCUCGAGGUAAAUAUCGGAGAGAAAACACUCCUCCUGUUCUGCACACCCUUCGAUUAAACGCUCGAUGACAUUGUUUGCUGUCUCUAACCCUAUCCAAGAUCCCAAUUGUGCCCUGACGUGUUGAAUAAGAGAAGCUUCGUGAUAUUCUCGUAAAUUGAAACGAUCUAUUCGAGCAGACCGUGCAAUAUAGGAGCCACUUGACUCUCUUUGCUCUACUAUGCAAGGAAUAUGUAUGAAUUUCGAUGUAUUAUGAACAGCGAUACGUUUCAUAGCUUAUGCUUAUGGAUUUCUCGUAUCUCUUCGCGUAUACAAUAAACGUGCAGAGUGUGCUGCAUUAUACAUGCUGUGAUUUAAAUAUUCCUAAGCGCCUGAUAUCGGUAUGAAUCGAGUUGAGAAUCGAGAUAUUGAAGAUAUAGAUUACAUUAUCGAUUAUUACACGAUAAAUCCUGAUAUCACUUUUAAUCUUUUCUCUCCGAUACUAAAAAUUUCUGUAUUAACUAAUUUAACUUCAACAUUGAUCGAAUCAAAUGAUUGU